AGCCCCGUAGUGUAGUGGCCAAGCACAGCAGGCUUUGGACCUGUUAGCGGCGGUUCGAAUCCGCCCGGGGCUA
rnacentral:tRNA from 1 species